GCAUAUCAAUAAGCGGAGGAAAAGAAAAUAAUAAUGAUUUCCCUAGUAACGGCGAGUGAAGAGGAAAGAGCUCAAAGUUGGAAACUGUUUGGCUUAGCUAAACCGUAUUGUAAACUGUAGAAACAUUUUCCUGGCACACCAGAUUAAUAAGUCCUUUGGAACAAGGCAUCAUGGAGGGUGAGAAUCCCGUCUUUGAUCUGAGUAGUUGUCUUUUGUGAUAUGUUUUCAAAGAGUCAGGUUGUUUGGGAAUGCAGCCUAAAUUGGGUGGUAAAUCUCACCUAAAGCUAAAUAUUUGCGAGAGACCGAUAGCGAACAAGUACCGUGAGGGAAAGAUGAAAAGAACUUUGAAAAGAGAGUUAAACAGUAUGUGAAAUUGUUAAAAGGGAACCGUUUGGAGCCAGACUGGUUUGACUGUAAUCAACCUAGAAUUCGUUUUGGGUGCACUUGCAGUCUAUACCUGCCAACAACAGUUUGAUUUGGAGGAAAAAAUUAGUAGGAAUGUGGCCUCUCGAGGUGUUAUAGCCUACUAUCAUACUCUGGAUUGGACUGAGGAACGCAGCGAAUGCCUUUAGGCGAGAUUGCUGGGUGCUUUCGCUAAUAAAUGUUAGAAUUUCUGCUUCGGGUGGUGCUAAUGUUUAAAGGAGGAACACAUCUAGUAUAUUUUUUAUUCGCUUAGGUUGUUGGCUUAAUGACUCU
rnacentral:rRNA from 1 species